rnacentral:rRNA from 2 species
GCUAACGGCUGAACUGGCAACUUGGAGAAGUGGCAAGUCUUCCAGUAUGGGGAGCAAACAGCUAUGGGUCAAGCCCGAUACCUUUAAGAGAAGUCUUAUUGUGAGGGCGAGUUGUAUAACACCAUAGGGCUGGCCGUCCCAUAUGAAAAGAUUUUAUUAGAAUUGAAUGAAACUUUGUUUAUAUAUUGAUAAUGACAGUAUAUAUAUCGUGUCUUGACUAAUUGCGUGCCAGCAGUCGCGGUAAUACGUAAGAGACUAGUGUUAUUCAUCUUAAUUAGGUUUAAAGGGUACCCAGACGGUCUAUAUAGCUUAUAAAAUGUUAGUAUAAGACUAGAGUUUUAUGUAAGAGGGCAGUACUUGAGGAGGAGAGAUGAAAUUUCGUGAUACCAAAGGGACUCUGUAAAGGCGAAGGCAGCCCUCUAUGUAAAAACUGACGUUGAAGGACGAAGGCACAGAGAACAAACAGGAUUAGAUACCCAAGUAGUCUUUGCAGUAAAUGAUGAAUGCCAUAGGUUAGAUAUAAAUAUAUAUAAUCCCUAUAUAUAAAAAUAUUGAAUAUAUCUGGUCUAUAAAUGAAAGUGUAAGCAUUUCACCUCAAGAGUAAUGUGGCAACGCAGGAACUGAAAUCACUAGACCGUUUCUGACACCAGUAGUGAAG